rnacentral:rRNA from 1 species
GAUGAACGCUAGCUACAGGCUUAACACAUGCAAGUCGAGGGACCGGCGCACGGGUGAGUAACACGUAUCCAACCUGCCCUUUACUCGUGGAUAGCCUUUCGAAAGAAAGAUUAAUACCCGAUAUAAAGGAUGGGGAUGCGUUCCAUUAGGUUGUUGGUGAGGUAACGGCUCACCAAGCCGUCGAUGGAUAGGGGUUCUGAUGUGAAGGCCCCCCACAAUGGAAAUGAGGCACAGUCCAAACUCCGACGGGACAGAGCAGUGUGUAAGAUUGGUGAAUGGGAGCUAGCCUGAACCAGCCACGUAGCGGGAAGGAUGAAUGCUUAUUGGUGGUAAACUUCUUUUAUAUAAGAAUAUUUAUUAUAUGAAUAAGGAUCGGCUAACUCCGUGCCAGCAGCCGCGGUAAUAC